CAGUAGGAAUGUAAACUUGUAAAAGAUGACUCAGCUAAUCUUCAAAUUCAAUCUGUACUAUUCUUUUAUUGACUGAUCCAUCAAAUCCUCUGAUCCCUGAUCAAUCCUUAAUUACCCAGACACACACAACUAGUUUGAAAUGAAUCUGUUUAUCUGUAUAUUUGCAACUUUGUGUCCAAGUCCAAGCCUUAGAAACUGAUCACCAACGCCUCGUUUUGUUUCAGCAAUAGUGUAUAUUUUUUAGAAUUUAGAGAAAAUAUUUUUAGAAUUUAUUUUUAUUUUUGUAUUGUACUUAAGAUACAACUAUUGGUUUGAUUCACCCGAGACCUAUAAAUACUACAAGAGAAAAUACAACAACAUAAAUAUUGUCAAAUUAUUUAACUAUUUCAAGU